UACAGAGGUCUCAAGCGUUGUUCGGAUUCAUUGGGCGUAAAGGGUGCGUAGGCGGCGCGGUAAGUCGGAUGUGAAAUCUCGGAGCUUAACUUCGAAACUGCAUUCGAUACUGCCGUGCUUGAGGACUGGAGAGGAGGCUGGAAUUUACGGUGUAGCGGUGAAAUGCGUAGAUAUCGUAAGGAAGACCAGUGGCGAAGGCGGGUCUCUGGACAGUUCCUGACGCUGAGGCACGAAGGUCAGGGGAGCAAACGGG
rnacentral:rRNA from 1 species